UAGCAUAACUUUCUUUCGCUUCCACGUGUAGCUUGGAUGCUCCGAAGUUUUUUAGCUUAAACUGGAGUGGUUUUGGUCGGCUUUGUAUUUAAUUGCCACCAAUGGGACUCCUGAGCUGCAGAGUCCAGAGAAGCUGUCUCCUGUCUUCAGAUCUUUCCUGUCCCGUUGUCUGGAGAUGGACGUGGAGAAACGAGGAUCAGGCCGAGAACUGCUGCAGAUCCCUGAACUGUGGGAUUAUGGACUCCAAACCAUAAAAUGUUUUGAUAAGCCUGAGACAAUCGAGCCAGACCUGAGUUUGAACCUGCUUGGAGUACCAAAUGAGAUUGGUUUAUACCUCAUUUUCAAACAAGUUCAGUAAAGUAUUUAAAAAAACAUUUAUGAAAUGUGUCUUUUACCAGAUCAUGAUGUGGUGAAACCUACUCGUAUGGUACUCAACAGGUUGACACAUACUGAGUACAUGCAAAUACUUUUAACAGGCUGGAAUACACUGUUAUGUGGCUUUUUACCAGAACACACAUUCCAGUUAUUUAGGUAUAAUAUGAAUGAUUGACAAGUUUAAAAUGAAUGUGUGGAUAGUCAUGAAACCAACAACAUCUGACAUUAAAUAUCAUCCAUACAGUAUGUAAAUUAUUAUUAUUAUUAAAGGUGGACUUAAAUUGGCUUGUGUCUGGAUCACUUAAGGGGCCAACUGGGGGCCAGAGCUUCUGUUCUACCAGGGUCACAGUAGUACCAACAUACAAUGGACUCAGAUGCUCCCAGAGUAUUUUAAAUGAAAAGUCUUAACUUGUAGGUAGGGUUCGAACGGGUAAGAAGGCAAAAGUUAACAAAAACACUGGGAUCUUACAGCUGGACGGUUCACUGAAACAGAUUAUACACAAUGAGAGGAGGGUGAUAACGAGGGACAGGUGGCAGCAGGGCUAACGAGGGACAGGUGGAAAACACACAAGGGCAGGAAGUGAAGUAUCUGCAACAAGAGACAAAGGUGAGUAUAUCAAAAUAA
rnacentral:lncRNA from 1 species